GAACGGUUGGCUCAGUGGAAGAGUGCUUGCAUGUAAUGCGAGAGGUCGCGGGUUCGAGUCCCACAUUGUUCA